rnacentral:rRNA from 1 species
GAUCUGUUUCCACUUCGGUGGCCGAGUGACAGGUGCUGCAUGGCUGUCGUCAGCUCGUGUCGUGAGAUGUUCGGUUAAGUCCGGCAACGAGCGCAACCCACAUCCUUAGUUGCCAGCAGUUCGGCUGGGCACUCUAGGGAAACUGCCCGUGAUAAGCGGGAGGAAGGUGUGGAUGACGUCAAGUCCUCAUGGCCCUUACGGGUUGGGCUACACACGUGCUACAAUGGCAGUGACAAUGGGUUUAUCCCAAAAAACUGUCUCAGUUCGGAUUGGGGUCUGCAACUCGACCCCAUGAAGUCGGAAUCGCUAGUAAUCGCGUAACAGCAUGACGCGGUGAAUACGUUCCCGGGCCUUGUACACACCGCCCGUCACACCAUGGGAGUUGGGUUUACCCGAAGGCCGUGCGCCAACCAGCAAUGGGGGCAGCGGACCACGGUGAGCUCAGCGACUGGGGUGAAGUCGUAACAAGGUAACCGUAAA